rnacentral:sRNA from 1 species
AAAAUUUGCUAUAAAACCAGGUUUAAAAAGUAUAAUAAAAAUAAUAAAAAUCGAUUUAAUGCAAAAAAAAACGCGACUAAAACGCAAAAAUAACGCGUGCAAAAAAAUAACGAAACCUCGUAUUAAAAAAAAAAAAAAAAAAAAAAUUUAAUUGAAAAUUUUUUCGUUAAAAAUUGAGGAGUUAAUUAACGUUUAAACCAGGUGGGGUUUACAAAUCGUUAACGUUAUAACCCAUUAUUUGUAACCCAAUACCGCCGCCUACCAAUGGGAACCCACGCGAGGCAAUUGCGUUUUAUUUGCGUUUAUUACGGGUUACCCCGCUUUAUACCUAAAGUUAUUACCUAGGACGAAAACGCUUUUAUUAAAAAAAAAUAAUUGUUACGUGCAAAUUUAUUAAUAUUUAAAUAUUAAUAUACAACCUUAGGGGUUAAAUUUUGCUAAAUUUGUAAGUUUGCGUUACGUAAACGCAGUAGGAACGCCGUUUAUAAAUAAAAGUUCCUAAAUCCUAAAAAUAGUAAAUUAGUCCUGAAUUUUUAAGGAUUAAUUUCUAAGCCAAAUGCUAUUAUUAUAAUACUAUCGUAAAUUAUUAUACGCUGUAUUAUUACCCUAUAUUUUAUUAAUUACCGUGUACCUAGCCUGUACCCAGUCCCCGGUUGUAACAAAUUUGCAAAAAUAAUAUAAAUAAUAUUUGUUAAUAAAUUAAUGGGGAAAUUAAUAACGACCGGGAAAAAUAUCGGAAAUAUUCCAAUUCGACCAAAAAUAUUUAUUUUUAAUUUUUGGGUAAUCGAAACCUAUUUUACCGUCAAAUUCCAAACCGUCGACGGGAAAACGGUUGUUAUAAAAUUGCAAUUAAUAUAUAAUGGUUUAAAUAACGUCCAAAUUAAAAAUACGACCAAACCAAAAAUAAUUUUUGGUUAAAAUGGAAAAUUGUGCGUAAUAGGCCAAUAAAAUUUCGAAAAUUUCUUCGUCGCGACGGUUAUUUUCGGCCAAAUAAUUCGCGAUAAUCAAUUAAAUUUAUAUAAAAUUGAAAAAAUCGGUUUAUUAAUUAUCCCCGAAAAAUUUCGGAUAAAAUUUAAUAAUAUUAAUUUUGGAUUUGGUAACGAUAAAACGAAAAAAACGUUUUUCGUCGUACAAAUUAUUAAUAAUAUUUUCCAAUAUUAGCAAAUCCAACGGGUAUAUUGAAAUUUAAUCCGCACGCUUUUUUUUUUAACCGUCCGAUUUCGGUCGGUUCGAAACGUAACCAAAUACCCACGGCCAAUAUUAUUAUUAUUAUAUUAUAAUAAAUUUAAUUAUAAACCGACAAAUUUAUAAUAUUAAUAAUUUGGUUUACCCGCGAAUAAAUAUCCGAACGUUAUUGGAGUUUUAUUAAAUGCAAAUUAUUUAAAACGAUAAUAUUAUUGGCAAUUAUUGAAUAAUUGGUAUUUGUAAAAAAACGUAAAUUAUUAUUCGACGUUAAAUUUGACAAAAAUUCGGGAAUCGCCCCCAAAUUUGCUGGGAUUUUUUUUAUUACCGAUAAUAAUUUUGCCGGUUCGACGAAAUACAAAAUAAAAAAAAUAAUAGCAAAUUCGAAAUUAAUUAUCGAUAUAAAAACCACCGUAUAUAUAAAAUCCCGGAUCCGCGAAUUUAAAUUUCAAAUUUUUAUAUUAAAAAUUAAAACCGGUUGUUAUUUUCCGUAAAUAAAAUAAUAUAAUAGUAAAAAUAAUAGGAAUUAUAAUAGGUUUAAAUUUGUCGGUAAAAAUUUUUAAAUUAGGGAAAUUAAUAUCGUUUUGGCGAAUAAAAAACGGAAUGGUAAGUAAUUAACGUCAAAUGGCCAAAUUUUUAAAAAUUAAUAUAAUAUUUUUAUUUUGGAAUAUAUUGGGUAUAAAAACCAAAAUUUUUUACCAAACGGGCACUUUAUUACCCGUAAUUAAUUUAUUGGAAUUACCGGUUUUAAAAUACGCCAAAAACCCAAAUACGUCCACUAUUAACAAAAUUUGUUAAAAAAAGAAAAUAUUAAUCGUUAUUACAAAUUAAAAAAACGUUUAAAAAAAUUAUAUUGUAACAAUUAUUAUAAUUUGGGGUUAAAUGCAAAAAUUAUAAUUAUUAUUACAAUUUGUAAAAAAAAUGGAAAAAACAUUUACCUAAAAUAUUAAUAUAUUAUAUUAGGGUAUUAAUCAAUUUAUAACCGAAAAUAAUUAUAAUAUUGCUGGUAUUUAACGAAUUAUCAUUAAAAUAAUAGGCCAAAAUCUGGCCGUUAAUUCGUAUUUUCGCCGCGGUAACCCCGGCUAUUAAUUAAAUACGUUCGGGUAUUUGGACGAUAAUUGGUAUAUCCGUAUAACGAAAAAUAUUAUUUCCAAUUCCAAAUUAUACAGGGGAUAUACCGUUAUUAUCGACGUUAAAAU